CGGUGGUCGGCUGAGCCGUGCAGGCCGGGAUCAGUAGCCCCGAGAGAGGCUGCGUGACUGGCGCGGCGGGGCUGAUCCGCGGGAAGUGCGGCUUGGCGGUGGGUCCGGGCCCUGUCUCGAGCCUGGUGGAGCGGGUGCGCGGCGCUGCGCUCCGCUUCUUGGCGCGGUCCAAACUCGGUGUCACGUGUCGCGCCGCAAAGGGAGCGCGAAAUAAACUAGGCUUGGGCAACAGUCUGCUCCCGGGCAGCACCAGGAACUAUGGAAAUAAACUUCAUGGUGAUAUCCUGGAAGUUGUGCAGAAUAAUUAA
rnacentral:lncRNA from 1 species